rnacentral:rRNA from 1 species
AGUGAACGCUGGCGGUAGGCCUAACACAUGCAAGUCGAACGGCAGCACAGUAAGAGCUUGCUCUUACGGGUGGCGAGUGGCGGACGGGUGAGGAAUACAUCGGAAUCUACUUUUUCGUGGGGGAUAACGUAGGGAAACUUACGCUAAUACCGCAUACGACCUACGGGUGAAAGCAGGGGAUCUUCGGACCUUGCGCGAUUGAAUGAGCCGAUGUCGGAUUAGCUAGUUGGCGGGGUAAAGGCCCACCAAGGCGACGAUCCGUAGCUGGUCUGAGAGGAUGAUCAGCCACACUGAAACUGAGACACGGUCCAGACUCCUACGGGAGGCAGCAGUGGGGAAUAUUGGACAAGGGGCGCAAGCCUGAUCCAGCCAUACCGCGUGGGUGAAGAAGGCUUUCGGGUUGUAAAGCCCUUUUGUUGGGAAAGAAAAGCAGCAGGUUAAUACCCCGCUGUUCUGACGGUACCCAAAGAGUAAGCACCGGCUAACUUCGU